UAGGGAAUCUUCGGCAAUGGACGGAAGNCUGGACCGAGCAACCCCGCGUGAGUGAAGAAGGUUUUCGGAUCGUAAAGCUCUGUUGUAAGAGAAGAACGAGUGUGAGAGUGGAAAGUUCACACUGUGACGGUAUCUUACCAGAAAGGGACGGCUAACUACGUGCCAGCAGCCGCGGUAAUACGUAGGUCCCGAGCGUUGUCCGGAUUUAUUGGGCGUAAAGCGAGCGCAGGCGGUUAGAUAAGUCUGAAGUUAAAGGCUGUGGCUUAACCAUAGUAGGCUUUGGAAACUGUUUAACUUGAGUGCAAGAGGGGAGAGUGGAAUUCCAUGUGUAGCGGUGAAAUGCGUAGAUAUAUGGAGGAACACCGGUGGCGAAAGCGGCUCUCUGGCUUGUAACUGACGCUGAGGCUCGAAAGCGUGGGGAGCAAACAGGAUUAGAUACCCUGGUAGUCCACGCUGUAAACGAUGAGUGCUAGGUGUUAGACCCUUUCCGGGGUUUAGUGCCGUAGCUAACGCAUUAAGCACUCCGCCUGGGAGUACGACCGCANGGUUG
rnacentral:rRNA from 1 species